rnacentral:rRNA from 1 species
CUACGGGGUGCUCCAGUGGGGAAUAUUGCACAAUGGAGGAAACUCUGAUGCAGCAACGCCGCGUGGAGGAUGACACUUUUCGGAGCGUAAACUCCUUUUAUAUAGGAAGAAGAUGACGGUACUAUAUGAAUAAGCGCCGGCUAACUCCGUGCCAGCAGCCGCGGUAAUACGGAGGGCGCAAGCGUUACUCGGAAUCACUGGGCGUAAAGAGCGUGUAGGCGGAUUAAAAAGUCAGAAGUGAAAUCCUAUAGCUUAACUAUAGAACUGCUUCUGAAACUCUUAAUCUAGAAUAUGGGAGAGGUAGAUGGAAUUUCUGGUGUAGGGGUAAAAUCCGUAGAGAUCAGAAGGAAUACCGAUUGCGAAGGCGAUCUCCUGGAAUAUUACUGACGCUAAGGCGUGAAAGCGUGGGGAGCAAACAGGAUUAGAUACCCCAGUAGUC